rnacentral:rRNA from 1 species
UACGUAGGGUGCAAGCGUUGUCCGGAAUUAUUGGGCGUAAAGAGCUCGUAGGCGGUCUGUCGCGUCGGCUGUGAAAACCCGAGGCUCAACCUCGGGCCUGCAGUCGAUACGGGCAAACUAGAGUACUGCAGGGGAGACUGGAAUUCCUGGUGUAGCGGUGAAAUGCGCAGAUAUCAGGAGGAACACCGGUGGCGAAGGCGGGUCUCUGGGCAGUAACUGACGUUGGAGGAGCGAAAAGCGUGGGGAGCGAACAGG